CGAACGCUUCUUUCCUCCCGAGUGCUUGCACUCAAUUGGAAAGAGGAGUGGCGGACGGGUGAGUAACACGUGGGUAACCUACCCAUCAGAGGGGGAUAACACUUGGAAACAGGUGCUAAUACCGCAUAACAGUUUAUGCCGCAUGGCAUAAGAGUGAAAGGCGCUUUCGGGUGUCGCUGAUGGAUGGACCCGCGGUGCAUUAGCUAGUUGGUGAGGUAACGGCUCACCAAGGCCACGAUGCAUAGCCGACCUGAGAGGGUGAUCGGCCACACUGGGACUGAGACACGGACCAAACUCCUACGGGAGGCAGCAGUAGGGAAUCUUCGGCAAUGGACGAAAGUCUGACCGAGCAACGCCGCGUGAGUGAAGAAGGUUUUCGGAUCGUAAAACUCUGUUGUUAGAGAAGAACAAGGACGUUAGUAACUGAACGUCCCCUGACGGUAUCUAACCAGAAAGCCACGGCUAACUACGUGCCAGCAGCCGCGGUAAUACGUAGGUGGCAAGCGUUGUCCGGAUUUAUUGGGCGUAAAGCGAGCGCAGGCGGUUUCUUAAGUCUGAUGUGAAAGCCCCCGGCUCAACCGGGGAGGGUCAUUGGAAACUGGGAGACUUGAGUGCAGAAGAGGAGAGUGGAAUUCCAUGUGUAGCGGUGAAAUGCGUAGAUAUAUGGAGGAACACCAGUGGCGAAGGCGGCUCUCUGGUCUGUAACUGACGCUGAGGCUCGAAAGCGUGGGGAGCAAACAGGAUUAGAUACCCUGGUAGUCCACGCCGUAAACGAUGAGUGCUAAGUGUUGGAGGGUUUCCGCCCUUCAGUGCUGCAGCAAACGCAUUAAGCACUCGCCUGGGGAGUACGACCGCAAGGUUGAAACUCAAAGGAAUUGACGGGGGCCCG
rnacentral:rRNA from 1 species